rnacentral:rRNA from 1 species
GACGAACGCUGGCGGCGUGCCUAAUACAUGCAAGUCGAACGCUGAAGCUUGGUGCUUGCACCGAGCGGGUGAGUUGCGAACGGGUGAGUAACGCGUAGGUAACCUGCCUGGUAGCGGGGGAUAACUAUUGGAAACGAUAGCUAAUACCGCAUAACAGUAGGUAUCGCAUGAUAGCUACUUGAAAGGUGCAAAUGCAGCACUACCAGAUGGACCUGCGUUGUAUUAGCUAGUUGGUGAGGUAACGGGUCACCAAGGCAACGAUACAUAGCCGACCUGAGAGGGUGGGCGGCCACCCUGAGAGGGUGACACGGCCCAGAGGCACUGGGGAGGGGGCAAGAGGGAAUCGGGAGGAAGCGGCGGAAGACUGUCCGAGAAACGCCGAGGGAGGAAAGAGGGACUUCGGGUCGUGAAGCUCUGUUUUAGGAGAAGAACGAGUGUGAGACUGGAAAGUACACAGUGUGACGGUAACUUACCAGAAAGCAACGGCUAACUACGUG